GCCCGCUAGGAUAUAAGGUUCCUCGCAGGCUGUAGAGGGCCUCUUGCAGCCCGCAUGUCGUGGAGGUCGGACGGACGGAGGCAGGAUGUGCGGGUGCUGUGCGGCCCCGCGCCAUGCGCCUGCAGUAGGAUGACGCCGCACUCCACUGUGACUAUGUGAUAACUAUCUGCAAGAUGUUGCUGCAGAGAUUCUAAUGGGAUCUUUAACAGAUCUUGAAGCAUCAGACGUCUAAGGAAAAGUCUUCCCAGGAGUAGGGAACAGAUGAUUGCCCCAGCAUCCUGACAAGCUUCCACCUUCAACAAAAUCGAAUGUGCUUACUUGUUGACAGAGGAAUGGACUUCCAAUCAACCGGGAUAAAGUUGUAUCGGCAAGAAGAUGCUACAGCAUUCUUGGGAGAGUCCUAAAAACUGAAGCGUGGUGUGAAUACCUAAUGUUGCUGUUUGAACUGUGUGUGGAUAACUAUUUUAACUGUUGGAGUUUCAGGAAAGAUCAAUAAAAUUCUCCACUGUGAACAAAA